UACAAAAUAAAACAUCUGGUUUGAAUUAAAAGUUUUAAUUGGAUAUUUGCUACAUGAUGACAAACAUCAAUAUGUCACGAAUAUCUGGACAUCUGACAAUAGAAAAAGACGCUGAAUUUUUUCUAGCUCAGAAUACUUCCCGUCACUUAGAACACAUUAUGCCACUCGUGGAGCGGUUCCGGAAGUCUUUCCUGAGAGUCUUUGUGAAGUGUGAUGGAAGUGUGAGGAGUGCCAUCCAAGGGAAAAGCAGGCUUGCAAGGAAAGCUUAAGGAGUCCUCGUCCACAUUAUCCACCGUAUCUGGCCCUCUGUGACUUCUUGCUCUUCCCCAAAAUCAAAGUGACCGUGGAAAGUAAAGGUUUUAAAUCAGUUCAGGAUACCAAAGCAACCACAACAGUAUAACUGAAGAAACUUACGAAGAAAAAUUUCCAGAACUGCUUCAGAAAGUGGCAAGCAUGGUGGGAUAAAUGUCUUUGAAGCAAGAGGCAGAGGAGUGACAGGUAAAAAAUCCAAAGGCAAAAUGGGAAAGCGUUCCUGUCAUGGAAGGCAUUAGAAGUAGACCUCCAAAAUAGGUAGGAAAACAGCAGAAUGAAAGGGAAGACACGUCUUCCCAAACCCAGGAAACAGAGCUCAAAGGCAAAGAGUAAGAGCAUUGUGGAUUUUACUUCAAGAAUUCAUUCCAUGAUGAGGAGAACAACUAUCUUACAGAAUAUUUAUAGCUUUGUUUUUGUGUUUGUGUUUAGAUCAACUUUCUCCUCCACCAACAUAAUGUGAGUUUUUUUUUUAUUUGAUGGACCAGUACUGUUCAUUUCAAUUUAUUCAGUUGGCCUACGCAGAAUUUCUGGUGCAUGAGGCAGGCUUCUUUUCAUUGGUUCUAGCCUUAAAUUCAUCAUUAUGUUUUUUCUUUUUAAUUUUUGUUCCUGCCUUAAGUUUGGUUUCCCAGUAAUGAGACUCUGAGGUGGAGUUUGGUGUGGAGGAUGCUUGUUUAGACAGAACCUUGGGAUCAUCAUCUGUGGAAGUAAAAUGAGCAAUGCAAGAAUAUCUGAUAGAGGGACAAAGUGAGCUGUGAAGCAGUUCCAAAGAAAGCUGCAGCUGAUCUCAAGGAGAUAAAAGGCUAUCAUAUCCCCCAUCUUUUCCCAAUUUGAGUUGAGACAGCCAGCUGUUUACAUGCCUACAUCAAUUGGCCAUGGGAUAAGAGCUUCCCAGUGCUACAGACUAAGUGUUUGUAUCCCUCUUACCUCAGAAAGUUCCUAUGUGGAAGCCUUAAUCCCUCACAUGAUGCUAUUUGGAGGUCUGAACUUUGGAAACAGUUACUUAGAUUCAUAAAGAUAGAGCUCAGUGAUAGGAUUAGUGAUUUUACAAGCAGAGACCAGAGCCUUGUCUGUCCCGUGAGGAUACAGCAAGAAGGUAGCUACCUGCAAACCAGAAAAAGGAUCCUCAUCACACACUGAAUGUGCUGGCACUUUGAUCUGGGAUCUCCUGACCUCCAAGACUAAGAAAAACAUAUUUAUUGGGCAAGUCACUUAGGGUAUGGUAUUUCACUGCAGCAGUUUCAGCUGACUCAGAUAUACAAGAAGGGUAGUGAACAUGAAAAAGGUAACUGUCUCAAGUCAAGGUUAUUUUUGAAGCUCUGGACAGCUGAAAGAAGAUCUGCUGAUAACACCCCCCAUAGCCAGCCAGCACGUGCUUUACUGAAAGUAGUUAUGGAAACAAACGUCCAUAUAUAUUCACUACACUCUCCGUUCCUUCUGAUAUUUCAGUAACACUUGUUAAAUCUCUGCAAUAAACAUGUCAUUUGUCAUUUUCUCUUCAGUUUUCUAAA